rnacentral:misc_RNA from 1 species
GACAGUGACAUGCUCUAUUUAGUUAAGUAACUUGCUAAACUACCCUGACAUGCUGGGUAUGCAGACCAACAUGCACAGAUUGCAGAAUGCAGGCAGUCCUAUUGAUAUUCCUUCUAGUCUGGGCAGUCCCAACUAUGCAUACCAAGAUCAAAACUAUCAGAAUGUGAGUACUGCAAUGUACCAAGAUCAGGGAAACCUUAAUGUUGGAUUAACCCCAGAUCUUGGAGAUUAUUAUCAGCUGAAUGAGAUGACGGAAACUGUGAACAAUCUUUCAGAGACUUUAACGCAGAAUAUGAAUAUUCAACAACCUGUUCAACAACCUGUUCAGCAACCUGUUCAACAACAACAACAACAUCCAGACCGGAGUGCGGGUAAAAGAUCACAGAAGGAUGCUAACUUAGAAUCUGGUUCCCUUCAGCUUCCCUAUCAGCAGGCCAAGACAGACGAGAGUAAACCUAACUUGUCCCGGCAGCAAUCCUCCUUAAACACUCCGACCGUUAGCGAGCAGUUGACCUCGAGUUCCUCGAUCAAUAUCCACGCUAUGAACCUGGCGGGGGGAUCCUUAAACAGCUUCUAAAUCUCUUUCUCUCGUAAACUAUUUUUGAUUUCACAAAGAUAGAACAAAAUAUAGUAGAAAUGUAUUUUUUCUCCUCAAAAUGUGAACUGUGUUCUAAAUAUAGGAUUUGGGGGACGACUACAAAACGCUCCCAGUUACUACAUGUAGGCUACAGUAAGGCCCAUAUAACUAAAAAACAGGAAGAUGACAUGUUUGUUGUUGAUUUUGUUUUGAAAUUGUUUUACAAUUAGAUUAAAAUCAAGUUAUAAAGUGAAAUAGGUCUGUGGUAGCUGCACAAUUUCUGUGUUUCAUGUUCAUUGGUUUUUUAAACCCACAUACUAUUUAUUCCACAGUUUCAGGAGUCCAGCUAAUAAUAGAAAAGUUUUAAAUGUUUGUACAAUCAGUGGUUUUUUAUAACUGGAUAUUUGCAUUUUCCUUUUUAUAGACUAUCAUGUAAGCAUUAUGAUGAAACUUGUACAAAAUGUAAUUUUUUAUUAAGAUAUUGUUUUAAAUAUUAUAAGAUUUUAUUUAUAGUUGCUAACUACUUAUAUGAACUCGGGUUAAAGUGCCUUUUUAAAAUAUUUUUUUUAAUAUUUUAAAUUCCCAUAAUUUUCAAGUAAAAGUUAUUUAGUUUUUUUUUAAUGCAAAGUUAGUUUGGAUCGUUCUUGUUCAAAACAUAAAUGAACUAUUUAAUAUAAAAGUCAAGAAAGGCUUAUUUAAAUAUUCUAAUGCUGGCAAAUUGUUAUAAAUUAUCGAAGCUAACGAAAAGUAAAAUAAAGAAUUGCAUUUCCAAUGGUUGAAGGCGGAAGAGUUAACCA